GUCCAGGGCCGGCGGGCGGGCGGAGCGAGCCUCCGGCCCCAGGCUGCCCCGGAGCUGCCGGGGUCUGGCUGGACUGGGCCGGGCCGGGCCUCGGGGCUGCGGCCCCCUGCUCCCAGGGCGGGGCCGGAGAGCGGAGGUGGGGGGGCCCAGGCAGGGGACGGCUGCUGCUGCCAGGGCACAAAGGGCGAGGACCCGAGGCAGGAGGGUGGGGAUGGGGGGGGGUGGGAACUGUCGGGAGACCCGAAGCCUGGAGGAAUCAGGCUGGGGCGGGGGUAGGGGUGUGGAGGAGUGAGCGGAGGCUAGAGGUCCAGCGGCACCAACACCCCAACACCCACACCUGCUUUCUGAGAGACCAGAAACCGCCACCACCACCCCCCCCCAUGCCCGCAAGAUCUCUCAGCCCUACUUAAGAUUGUUGCUCUUGGGGAGAGAAGAGGAAAGGGAAGGAGGGGGCUAAGGAGAAGGGGGGAUGGGGGAGAAAGGAGGGAAAGGGGAGACGGAAAGAUGGAGAGGAAAUAGAGGGCCAAAGGGGGGGGAGGGGAAAUAGAUGGAGGGAAGGCUGGAGAGGGGCUUAGAGGGGGAAAGGGGAAGGGAGAAUAUGAGAGGGAAGGAAAGAGAGUGCCCAGCUCUAAUCUUAAGCAUUUUGCCAGUUCAGUUUCCCUGAGCUCUAUCCCCACUCCAGAGCUGUCUAAAGAGGUUUGCCGGGGCUCUUGGGGAGAGGCUAGAGGCUAACUCUCAAGUUAGUGCUAGGUCAGGUAGACACCCUUCCCCCAUGCACACCUAAUCAAAGUCUGGGCCAAAGGGGGAGGGGGCUGGAAGAACAGGUAUCUGGAGGGUGCUGGAAGGGGGAAUGGAGGAGGGUUUUGCUCUGUCUUGCCUCCUGCAGGACUGCCCUUGGGGAGAAGGGACAGGGAAGAAGAUGGCACAAUCUCCUAGGGUGGAGCCUUGGAGAUGGCAGUGCUCCGUGGGCACUGGCAGAAUCUCUCCAGUACGUGCUCAUCCACUUAGGCUAGGGGGAACUCUUGCAAAGACGGUUAGAGAGAGGACUGGAGCUGAGAUGGCUCCUAGGCAUGGAGGGAGUGAGGGUGUAGCUAGGAAUGACAAGAGAAGGAAGGAGCCCGAAUUUCCUCAGUUUCAACCCCCCCCCUCUAUUUUGGGACUUCCCCUCCCCCAAUGGGCACCGGGAACUAUUUGAAGUCCGGUUUUACUUUCCUUAAAUUGAGUGGGGGGUGUCGAGGAUGGGAGGAGUUUCGAAAUCUUGGGAAGAAAAUGUUUGUUCGGUUCCCACACCCAGACCAGGUUCCUUCGGCAAAUUUCCUUUGAUCGCGAUGAACUUGAAUCAAAGUCACCCAGGCACUCCAAGCCGGGGAAGCUGGGAACCGGUUCCCCUUAAAAGAAGCAGCGGAGCCCAAGGGGCUGUGCCGCCAGCCUAACUCGGGCAGAAGUGGCUUCUUGGGUAAUCGGCCUCCAAGAACACUGCGGGAGGGGGGUCAGGAAGCCUGGGAAUGGGCAGCUCUUCAGGCAGGUCUCUAAGACCCACACCUGCUGGGGGAUCACAAAGUGCCAGGGGGCCCCGGUGGGCAAGGCUUUUAGAGACUGGAGCUGGGGGGGGGGGAGCCUUAGGCUCCUAGAAGAAAGUUAGGUGGGGGAGGACUGGGGCUGGGGUGGCUGGAGUAGCUGGGCCUUCCUCUCUCCCCUGUCAUUAUGGCUCCUCUGCAGUGUAUUUAUAGUGCCCUGAGGUUUACUUAAAGGAACACGCCCUCCAAAAUCUGCUAUAAAAAGGAAAAAUGGCCCCUUAUUCCAAAGCUCACGUAGCACUUUUAAAGAGACAGGGGCCUUUUUAGAGUCUGCUCAGGCCAGGGUGAAUUUUCAGAUGGGGGAGGGGGCCGUGUCUGAUUCAGCCAGAAAGAUAGCUUCCAUCCCUGGGGGGAGGGGGCAGGCAAUCUGUUCUCUCAUUUCCCCAGCCUCGAUCUUACUCCUUAGUUUUUGUCACAGUUUUCUUGGCUCUCUCAUUCUCCUACCUCUGCUUGGGCGCCCAGACCCACGAAGACACGCUGACGUAGCCGGAUGGACAUGUUAACUCAGACACACAUAGAGAGCCGGACCCAACACUCACACCAACUCAGCGGGCACCGAGGGAAGGCGCCGGGGAGCCAUAGGUGAAAUAAUGCCUCCUGACACAUGGCUAAAUGAAAAAAGGCUCCCUGCCCUCAGGAGGGCCACAGCCCCGAGCUGGGAGACGCUGACGGGGAAUGGAUUCUGGACUCCUGACGCGUCUCGCAAGAGCUGGGAGGUAGAGUGGGCGUGGAGCCCUCGCUCGGGAUAAGUCUGGGGAGAUAGACUGAGUCACACAGGGCUGGCACAGGCAUGUGGCAGCAGCCCGCAGGCGUGGGAGCUCCUACACCUAAAUACAGUCAAUAAGACCAUGAAGACGGUCGCCAGCCUCAACAUAGAGACCCGAGACACUGUCAUUUAGGGAUGUACACACAGAACCACCACCAGGACACACACACACCGUUAUAAACCCUCAAGUGCUGAGACAUGGUGGGAGUAGCGACAAAGCAGCUUAGUUUCAUGGGUGAUAUGCUGAUGAUGGGCCUCCUGCAGCCCCAGCCUCUUCAAAGAUGACCCUCAGGGGUGGAGGAGGGAGAGAGGGCUCAGCUCCUUCCCUGGUGCCUCCCUGGGGUCCUAGCUGAGGCUGCAGAAGGGGGAUAGCUCAUCCCACCCACCAAACUCCCCUCUGGGGGAGCCAGGGUGGAAAAGAAGGACCUGGUGGGUUUUCCCUUCCUGCUAAGGGAGCCUCCAUUUCCCCCUGUUCUGUGUUAAGGAAAAAUGUCCAAGAUGGAUAAUGGAAAGUCUGGUCUCUACUUUGGGGCUUCCCUCCCCUUGCAGGCACACUCCCCCCCUCCCUCCUGAAUUCAGAGGGAUGAAAGGCUGGAGGAAGGAGGCAGCUAGUGGGAGUGGGGCUGGGGCCUGCCAGGGGCUGCUGGUAACCUGAGAGGCUGAGGAGCAGGUGUCAAGGAAAUGAGAAGCCGCCAGCUCUGUCUAGACAGCCACGGACCAUUAACAGCUCUUCCUCAGCAAACCUCCCCCACCCGGGCCAGCAUCCACAUGGGGGCGACCCCUGCCCGGCCCUCCUCCGUCACUCCCCCCACAAUGGGCCCUUUGUCUGCCUCCAGACUCUCCCAUACACGGAGGCUCCCGGAGAGACCCAGGUACCCCCCCCCCCCAAACUGUGCCGACACUGGCACAGACACAAACAUGAUGAUUCCCAGCCACAAACAAAAUACUUUUGCUCCGUCUCACAGCAAGAUGCCAGACACCAUCUAUUGCCCGCAUCUCUCCCUCUGCCUCUGACCUCUGCCCUUUCUCCCGGCCCCUCCCCCACCUUGCUCUUCAACUUGGUGGCUGAGCCGCCGCCAUGGGUUCCCCCUCCAUCUGUGGCCUCAGGCACAGCCAUGUUUCUUGCUCUCACCUCUGACCCCUGAAUCCCAAGCCCUUCGCAGCUGUCCCCUCCCCACGCUAGGCCCUAGAGUUGGUCUUUGACCCCCAACUGGGCUCCCUGGGCCUUGGAGGCUGGAAAUGAGAAAACAGACUCCCACUGGGGCCCUCCUCCUUCCUGCCGCCAGGGCCGGACCUCCAGACGGGCAGAUUUCAGACCAAGCUGCGGAGGGGGGACGCUCCCAAGUAACUUUCUGUUCCCUAUACCAGCCUCUGUUUCCUGUCUCCUUCCCCUGCAAUUGUCCCAUCUCAGGCCAAAGGGGUUUCUUUUUUGUCUGAGGCAGAAAGGACAGAGCCUAAGGAAGCUGGAGCAGGUAGGGCAGCGGGGAGCUGAGCAGCCAGACGUGAGGGCAUAGUCGGAGCGGGCAGAGAGCCAGACAGCUGUAGUGGACAGAUGGACCUAGGACUUCUUGCCAGGUGGCACAGGAGCAGGCUUGGGAAAGGUGGGCCACCCCCAGCCCCACCAGCCCGCACUGUAAACGGCAUAAAGCCACCCAGUCCGGCCUGCCCUCUCUGACCAUAGCACUGGCAGUGGAAGGAGGGAGGGAAUGAUUAGAGACCCAGGAGAGAAUUCCCUCUCUGCCUUUCUGACCCUAGCUGGUCCCUGACUCUGAAAAGAAGGAAAGAGGGAGGUCAGAAAAGGCCUUUCCGCCCUGUCCCUGACCCUUCCAUUUCUCCUUCCUCUUGGGCCCCUGCCAUCUCCUUCCCAGCCCCCUCCCCUAGAGGAUCCAGGCCGUCUAGAGCCAGUGGAAGGGCGCCUGCACCUCAGCUGGGGCCAGCCUUGUUCACUCUAGCCCUUAUCUAGGGGCCUGGGAAGGUUUCCCUUUGCCCGUCCCUCCCCCACCUUCCUUUAUCUCUUUGCCAUAUCAUUACGGGGCUCCCCCUACUACUGCUGUUCUCCCUGGCUCAGAGCGGCUAGAGAUUGGCUUCCUCCACCCAGGCCCAGAUAAAGGCUUUCCUUUCUCCUUUGCUUUCAGCCCAGGGGAUCUCCUCGGUGCCAGGACUGAGGACCGCAUUCCUCCCUUCCACUAGCGCUGUGGAGAAGGAGCCGCCAGGAGUAGGCCGGAGGCUUUGGAAAUGACCAGAUCCAGGGUGCUUCUGCUGGAGCCCAGGGGAUGCCAAAUUCAGAGAAGAUGGGAAGAAAUUCUUUACUAGAGAGGUGAAGCAUCUGCCAGAGGGGACGGGUAAGUGGUGGCAGGGAAGCCUUUGCUCACUGUAUUCUACCUCUCCUCUCUCCUGGCCAGGGAUCCUGCUCUUAGAGGGGACCCUCCCUGAGGGCAGUCCUGCCUCCUUUAGGGGUAAGGCAGGCGACCUUCAGUCAGUUCUGACUCCCAAAGGCCAGGAAUCAAUGGGGAAUGAUUCCGUACCCCAGAAUAAACCCCCUUCACCCCCCUGAAUCAUCAAGUAUUUCUGGUGCCUGCUGUGUGCUCCCAACUCUAAGUCUUGGAAGGAUAUCUAAGAGAUAUUGUGGUUGGUGAUUUCAACCUCACUCUAAUUGGGAAAUCAAGUACAUAAAAUGACAGCUAGUAUGAUUCUAUGUAGGGGCAGCUAGGUGGCACAAUGACAGUGCCAGGCUGAAAUCAAGAGGCCUUGGGUUCAAAUCAGGCCUCAGACAUGUCUUUGUUGUGUGACCCUGGGCAAGUCACUUAACCCCACUUUCCUAGACCUUCCUGCUCCUCUAUCUUAGAAUCAGCACCGGGGCAGAAGGUAAGGUGCUGUGUUUUUUUUAAAGACCAUGUAAAGUUACAGGGGUGGGAAAGGUGCUGGAAGAGCUCUUAGGAGAACUAGUACUGUUGGAAGAGCCCUGAUUUUGGAAUCAAAGGACCAGAUGGCAAAUCAUUUAACCUCUUUGAGCCUCAGUUUACUCAUCUGCAAAAUUAGAAUGUUGGUCUAGAUGAUUGCUGAGGAUUCUCUUGGCUCUGAAUCUGUGUUCGCGUGAACCAGGGGUGGUUAGGGAAGACUUCUCGAAAGAAGACUGAGGUUGAGUUAAGGAAGGAGGAAAAGAACUUCCAGACCCCAAAGGAACAAAAUGAGGAUAAGCAGGGAGAGGGUGCUGGCCUAGAUUGCUCAGAGCCUUCCAAGUAAUUUGUUAUCACAGAACUAUUAGAAUUGGAAGGGAUGUCAGAGAUAUUUUUGUCCCACUCAUUCAUCUUACAGAUGAGAAAAUGGUAUGGUAAGAGGUGAAGGGACGGAAAGGCAGGACCUUUCCCAAACCUCUUCCUUAAACUGGGCCCUGGAAUGUGUCUGUAGCAAGAGAUGACUCUUCUCCCAGCCUGUGGCUUCCGAUAACUAACCUCCUACUUGGCCCUGGUGGGAACUUGUCUAUCUCCCCUCCAGUGUCCAGACUUCUCGGGAAUUGAAUGCCCAGCACUUGGCCAGAUGCUGAAGGGAAUUCAGAGAUCUCCAUGACAUGAUCCCCAGCCUCCACGAGGCAGUUUCAGCUCAAGGGAAUGUAUGAAUGUGCCCCAAAUGUGGGUGGUAUAAUCAGUAAAUCCUGAAAAAGCUCAGAGAAAUGGGGAGAUUGGGGAGGGCUGAUCAGGGAAAGCUUCUUGGAAGAGCUGUGUACUAUGCAACAUUAUUGAACUCUUUUCUGGAUUCCUUAUCCAACCUGAUUUGAAGUCCUUUGAGGACUAGGACUGUUUUCUACUUUUCAUGGCUCUCCUUCUGUAAUAAGAGAAGUACAGAAUUCUAGCGCUAGGAAGGCCCUCACUAGUUUCAAAUCCAUCCUUCACCUGAACAGGAAUUUUUUGAGAAAUGGUGGUCAGCCUCUACCUGAAGACCUUUGGUGAAGAAUAAAUCACUCCCUGCUCAGGUAGGCCAUUCCACUUUAGACAACUCUUAAUUGUUCCAGGUUUUUCCUUAUGGCAAACCUAAAUUUGCCUUUCUGUCCUCUGGGGUCAAAUAGAACAAAUCCAGUCCCUUUUUUACAUGACAUGAGAGAGAGGUCUGAUACAGAGAUACUGAAGAAAGCUAGCAUAUUUUCCCCAAAUCAUUUCUUCUUUUUCCAGGCAAAGCAUCCUUAGUUUCUUCAACUGGUCCCCAUGUGGCAUGGUUCCAUGUCCUCUUCCCAUUUUGACACUGCCCCUUUCUUUUUUCUUCCUUUUUUAAAAAAUCCUUACCGUCUGUCUUAGAAUGAAUAUAGAAUAAGAUAGAAGAGCAGUAAGGGCUAGGCAAUGUGGGUUAAGUGACUUGCCCAGAGUCACACGGCUAAGAAGUGUCUGAGGCCACAUUUGAACCCUUGAUCUCCCAACUCCAGGCCCACCUCUCUAUCCAUUGAGCCAUUGAGCUGCCCUGAUACUGUCCUUUCUAAAGUAUAGUGCCAAAGUACAAUACCCAAAAUAAGGCGUGCCCAAGGCCAAGUAUAAAAGGGCUGCCUCUUCCAUCAUUUUGGACUUGCUGCUUCUGUUAAUGCAGCCUCAAGUUUUCUUACUCACUCAUAGGAUGGAUAAUAGGUGAGCUGGAAGGACCUUGGAGACCACGUAGUACAAACCUCCCAUUUUACAAAUGAGAAAACCGAGUUAUAGUCACAAAUAGUGACAGAGAAAUGAUUUGAUUGCAGUUCCUUUGACUCCCUUAGAUUUAGAAUCAGAGGGCCUCGACUCAAUUCUAAAUUCUGUAGCCUUGACUUGACUAUGGGUAAACUUCUUUCCCUCCAGGAGGCUCAGUGCCCUAAUUUGUAGAAUGGAAGAGAAGAAUAAAAUCUGGGAUAAAAGGAAAAAACAAAACUCUUACCUUCCACCUUAGAAUCAAUACUGUGUAUUGUUCCCAGGCAGAAAAGCAGUAAAGGGCUAGACUAUGGGAGUUAAGUAACUUGCCCAGGAAGUGUCUAAGGUUUUGGAGGAGAUAAUUGUUUUCAUUUCACCAGUUUCCUUUGUAAUUCUGUGUGUUUUAUUUUGUGCAUUUAAAAAAUAUUCUUCUGAGAAGACAGACUGCCAAAGAGGCACACGCAAAGGUUAAGAACCCUUGGAUUAGGUGGUCUCUGAGGUCCCUUACAACUCUGAACUCUGUGAUUCUAAGAUGGAUAGAUAGGUCUCUGUAAUACUACAUUCCAUUCAUCAUCACAAUUUUCUCCAGUUCUCCAAUCCAGAUAUGCUGUAUCUUUACAUUUUUAUCUACAAGGCUAUCUUGAGAAACAAUAAGAAUUCUUGUCAAAAUCUCUGACUUCCCUGAUCCAAUAAUUCAGAUUACUCAAAUGGUUCCAUGAUCUCAUCCAUUUCUGUGUCCCUUCCUAAACUGAAAAUCACAAUCCGGUCCUUGUCUGCCUUUGCCAGUUCUCUCCAGUUCUACCUAACCUGCUAGAGGCUUCCUGACUUCUAACAUCAGAAGGAUACCAGAUCCACACUUGAGCUGUCCACCCUUCAUCCUUUGUCCUGCCCUUGGAACUAGCCCACCUUUUUGUUUUUGUUUUUAAACCCCGACCUUCCACUUUGGAAUUAAUACUGUGUAUUGGUUAUAAGGCAGAAGAGCAGUAAGGGCUAGGCAAUAGGGGUUAAGUGACUUUCCCAGGGUCACACAGCUGGGAAGUGUCUGAAACCCCAUUUGACCCCAGGACCUCCCCUCUUUGGGUCAGGCUCUCAAUGCACUGAGCCACCCAGCUGCCCCCAGCCCAUCUUUUUUUCCCCCUGCAAUAAUACUUUUUUUACUCCUGUUUUUCAAAAUUCCUCAUUUACUAUAUUUCAUAUUACUCAGAGUAUGACCUCUGUUGUCCUUUGUGGUCAUCAUUUUCGAUUUUUCAGAAACUGUUGGGUUCAGCCUCCUACAGCCAUAAACAUGGAGCUCUGCAACUUCCCAAAGGUAAGGCAGCCUCCUCUUUUCUACACGUUGAAUUCUAGGGCUAAUAACUCUUGUCCAUCUGGGCCUCUGUCCCACAUGAGUAUGUGUAUGCCCACACAUAUGUAUAGACAUGUACAUAUAUGUAUACACACAUGCAGGUGCAUAGUGCUGAAAUCAGUACCCUGGUUAUACAUGUACACAUCCACGGUGAUGACUCAUACACACAGUGAUGGAACGCCCAUCUAACAGCACAUUACAUAUCAUCUGAGCGAUAGAUAUUCUUUACUCACUUGAUUUUCCCUGUGUGGAUGGUCAAGCCCACCUCCCUGCCAGGAGGUAAAGUCCUCUGCAACCCGCAGGGACCUGAAUGCAGCGAGCACAAUGUCCUGGCCAAAAGAAGAAUCCCCCAAUCUACGGGGAACUGGUCUUCAACUAGGAUUCUGUGCUAGAUCUUGACGGCAGCGACAGACAUCUUUAGUGAGAUCCAUUUUCCUGUCUGAUGUUUGUGAUCAGGUUAUUUAGACAGUAAACAAGUCUCUCUGUUGCUUUAUCUUUCAAGGGAUCUUCACUGAUUUGGAUGGAUGGAUGGGAUUCCCCUUGGUGGAAAUAGGUCCCUUAAGGUGAAAUAUUUCUUAGCUCCACAAACAAUGACAGUGGAUGCUUUUAUUAGCCCUAUUUUUCAGGCAAUUGUCUAACUUGGCUACCUUCCCCAUCCUUGUUCUCUUUAGUGCUCCCUCCUGUAAAAGCAGAUCUAGAACUGAAUCCAUUGUCCUUUAGGGUAUUUGUUUCAAAAUUUCAUUAUAAAAACCUUUGCAGAGCAUUCCCAUUUUUCUUGUGUGUACAGCCUUUUCCAUUUUAAUCCCCAAACACCCUUGUGAUGACUUGGUUUAGUUGGGUCUCUCACCAAGCUUUCUUUCAACUGGUUUGAUUCUCCACUGCUUCUCUCUGCUUUACGGAGUGAGAGGACUCCUCCUCAUCCAUGAAGAUCUUGCAGACUACUUCGUAUUUAAACGGGGGUUGCCUUUGCUGGCCAUCUCCCUCCCUGCUUGGCAAGGAAGCCAGGCACUUGCUCACUUGGGCACUUUUUAGACUAUUUUGGUCUCAUGAUAGCAAUUGAUUUACACGCAGCUAAACGUCUGUAUAGAAUGAUCAUAUUUGUACCUGAUGACAAAUUUCUUGUUCAUUAUUCGCUUCUCAUUACCAAGAAUUUUUCUGAUCUUUUGUUAUAUGCCAUAUCUUUCCCUCAUUUUUCCUUUCUUGUAGCUUUUUACUAAUUCUGAUCAUCAUUUCUCUAACAAGUCGGCAGAGAGCUGACUCAGGGGUGACGUCACAUCAAUACCAAAUCUUUUAUUAUCUUGUUAAAAUGGAAUCAAUUUCAUUUUUUAAAAUUAGGUUCCUUGGAAAGCACCACGUGCCAGCUUGCUCUUUUUGUUGUAAAAGUAUUCUUGGAAUAGAAGCCUGAGGCUUCUGGGUAGCCUCUAUGUAUCUUUAAAUUCCCCCAUUCCUUACUCUUGAACCAUGCUUCCUAAUCUAAUUCUCUCCAUUCUCACCCAUUGCUGCCCUUGCAUUGAAGCUACCAAGUAUUAAAGCAUUUGCUGUUUUCCAUUUGGAGAGUUUUCUUGUCUACCUCUUCAUUCUCUGCAGCCAGACUUUCCUGAGAAGCUACGACUAUCUCUGUACCGGUCUUUUUGCAAGUACUUACCAUGAACACCGGCUUACAAGACGACCAAAUAUCCAGGGAAAGGACAGAUUUUGUUGCCUUUGAGCAUAUGAUAAAACCAACUCCCACAACUUCCUCUGUGGCCUAUCGGAGGGUAUGUGAGCUGUCCUUCCAGCUAAUGACAACUUCCUUUUUUCCUAUUGUUGUUGUUUUUUAAUAGAAAGAAUGUCAAGAUUAAUAGGAUUUAGCUCCUUCAGGAGCCUGUCCACUUGCUGAGUGCUGGACAAGAAUCUUACAAUUAGAACACCAGCAGUCAAGGUAAAGUUUAUGGUUGGUCUAAAACUGUAUCAGUUCCAAGGCAGAAGAGUGGUAAGGACUAGGCAAUGGGGGUGAAGUGACUUGCCCAGGGUCACACAGCUAGGAAGUGUCUGAGGUCACAUUUGAACCCAGAGGCUCCCAUUUCUAGACCUGGCUCUCAAUCCACUGAACUACCCAACUGCCCCCCUGGGUAUCCACAUUUAACACUGGAGUUCACAGUUCCCAUUGUUGCACUUCCCCUUAACAGUCUGCCAGUAGACAAAAUUAGCUUUUCAGUUUCAGUCAUUUACUUGUUCACCCUCCUAACCCUCUUAACUUUAAUUAAAAAAGAGAAAAAGAAAAAAGAAAAACAAAACCCUUGUAACAAUUGUAGUGAAGCCAAAAAAAGUUUUCAUAUUGGCCAUGUGCAAAAAUGUGUUUCUCAUUCUGUCCCUUAUUCCCCGACUUCUCUGUUGUGCAGUAGGCAGCAUUCGUAACCAUCCAUCCUGGGGAGACUUGUAUAGCCUGAUGCAGAAGGAAGUGAGCUGAGCCAGGAAAAACAAUUUAUAUCUAACAUCAACACUGUAAAGACCAUUUUGAAAGACUUAAGAACUCUUAUUGAUGCAAUGAUCAAUCAUGAUUAUAGAGAAUUGAUUAGAAUCUAGGUUUGAUUCUCUAUCCACUGAGCCCUCACUGUCUUCUUUUUGAAAACAGAAGAGUCAGACCUAGUGAUGGGAGGUCCUGGGUUCAAAUGUGGCCUCUGACACUUCCUAGCUAUGUGACCCUGGGCAAGUUGCUUAACCUCCAUUACCUAACCUGUAUUGCUCUUCUGUCUUGGAACCAAUAUACAGUAUUGAUACUAAGGCAGAAAAUAAGGGUUUUUAAAUUUAUUUUAUUUUUAAGGUUUUUUUUUUUAAGAAAGAAGAGAGGAAGGAAGUAAAGAAAGGGAGGAAGGGAGAAAGAAAGUAUACAAGUAAGAAAGUAGGAAAGAAAGAAAGGAAGUGAGGAGAGAAAGAGAGGGAGGAGAGAAGAAAGAAAAUAGAACGAUCAAUUCGUGCCUAAAACAUCACUCCCACUUUCCACAAUUUUUUAAAGAGCACCCAUAACUGCUCAGCAGUCAUAAUGUCCAAUUCUGUCAGUCUCCUGUGACAUUCAGCUGUAAUAACUUGAAUACACACCAAGAGCAGCUGGGGACUCAUUCUACCAUCACCACAUUUGUUCUGGCUUUCAGUUGCUCCACAGAGUUCCACUUUGGUGCCUCACUUGGAUCUGACGGGGACCGUGGAUUUUCCAAGGCUUUGCCAGCCAAUUACAAGCUUUAUAAUAAUAGCUAAUAUUUAUGUAGCGUUUUAAGAUUUACAGUGUGCCUUAUAUACAGUUUCACAUUAGAUUCUCAACUCUGUGAAGUAGGUGCUAUUAUUGCUCUUGUUUUAAAGAUAAGGACAUUGAGGUUUAAAAGUGAAGUGAUUUGCCCAAGGUGAUACAAUUACUAUGUCUGAGGGAAGAUUCAAAUUCAGUUCUUCUUUUUUCUUUUUUUAAACCCUAUCUUCUAUCUUAGAACCAAUACUAAGUAUCAGUUCCAAGGUAGAACAGUAAGGAUUGGGAUUAAGUGAUUUACUCAUGGUGUCACUGCUAGAAAGUAUCUGAGACCAGAUUUGAACCCAUGUCCUCUUGAGUCUGAGCCUGGAGCUCUAUCCACUGUGCUACCUAGCUAUUCCAAAGCUGGAUCUUCUUGUCUAUAUAAGUCCAGCACUCUACUAUAUCCUAGGCUGUCUACCAUGUUGGAAAGCCUUCUAAUAGAAUGCCAUUCAUAUGCUAUUUCUGAUUUGGGAUCAGCCUAGCUAAGGAUAGAAGGCUCCUCACCAGGUGACUGGCUGCUAGGUGAUGAAUAUUUGGCAAUGCAGGAAACAAAGAGUCAAAACAGAGAAGUCCUGGUGGCACCCAUCCAUUUCUGCAGAAAUGGCAUCAGCGUGGCAGCAAAGGGGGCAGGAAGUGUCAAUCCCAGUUUUUAGAUACUGUGAACAUAAUCUUAGCUUGUAGAUUGGCAUAGAAGCCUCAUAACUACAUAUCAGGGAAUACUGUUGUUGUUUUUCCCCUUUGAUGUUUUUAAAAUAAUAUGCUUUCUUGAUAUUUUGCAUUUUUUAUAUCUCAAUCAAUCCUGGAUUAAUAUCCUGUUCCUACUCCCAGAAAGCCUUCCUUUCUCACAAAUAGUUGAGCAAAACAAAGUACCUUAGUGAUAAUAUAUGCAAAAUUCUCCACUAAUCCUUCACCUCUCUACCUAAUUUUUAUUCAAAAAAAGGAGGGAUUCUGGAAAUGGGGAUUACCAAAUUGUAUCCCCCAAAAGGCUGAUUAAAUCCUAACAGAUAUAAUCUGCUACUGAUGUGGGAGAGUCAUUUCUGAAUCAGCUGAUUAUAGUGAGACCACCAGACUCUUAGAGCAAAUAAUGCAAUGACAAAUUAGUUGAACAAAAAUGAGAAGCUAUGGCAUAUAGUUGAAAAAAUCCAAACUUGACUUAUUUAAACAAACAGUGGAGGCUGAUAAAUGAGAAAUGGACAAAAGAACAGAUAUCAAUAAAGACAAUGACCAUUUCCCAUGUUAAUAUACAUCGAUCACUAUAACAAGGUGACCAUGAGAACCUUGACUGCCUCAGCCAACAAUACCAUUAUCUCCUUGCCAAACAGAGAAGUAGCAGCCAAGGGCAAAACUGUUUCAGUAUAUAAACUUGUUUAUAUACUAUUAUAAAGAAGAAGGGUAGAAAAUUAUGAACACUAUUAUCUCUUUGUUUAUGCUUUUUAAUAAAAACCCUUAUCUCCAAGCUUGGAAUCAAUGGGAUUAAGUCUAGAGAAGACUCUGGGCAGCUUGGAAGUUGUCUGAGACCAAAUUUGAACCCAGGACCUCCCCUCUCCAGGCCAGGUUCUCUAUCCACUGAGCUUCUUCACUAUCAUCUCUUAAUAGUGGGAAUCAAGGGGGCAGCUGGGUGGCUCAGUGGAUUGAGAGCCAGGCCUAGAGAUGGGAAGUCCUAGGUUCAAAUCUGGUCUCAUUCACUUCCCAGCUGUGUGACCCUGGGCAAGUCACUUGACCCCCAUUGCCUAGCCCUUUACCACUCUUCUGCCUUGGAGACAAUACACAAUAUUGAUUCCAAGAGGGAAGGUAAGGGUUAAAAAAAAAAGUGGGAAUUAAUAGAAAGGAAAAUAGUUUCAUAGAAAGAUUGCUGAGAGAUCCAGUUAAGCUAGAUCAUACCCAAACUGGAAGUAUAAUAAAUAGUAGAAAGAAUUCCAGAGCCAUUGGACCUGAGUUCAAAUCCCACAUCUGACCCUACCUAUAUGAUGUUAGGCAAAUCUCUUGGCAUCUUUGGCCUCAGUUUCCUCCUUUAUAAAAUGAAAAAUGAAGAAAUGAGACUAAAAAAACUGGUGAGGUCCUUUCUAGCUCUAGAUGUAUGAUUCCUUAUUCUCUGAUCCUCUGAAAAAAUGGGAAAGAUCUGUUAGGAUUUCUAAAAUAAACUUUCUCCAUCUAUGUCAGUGAAGUCACUACAUUUGUACUCAACAUCAUAGACCCUGUGUUCUACAUAAGGAAGUAGAAAUAACAGACAAGAAAGAAGAGCAUGUAGAUCUGUAGAGAGGAAGUCCAUGCUAGAGAUGACAAAUGUUGAAAGGACUGAGAGGUCAGUUCUCAAGAUACAUAAAAGAUAAGAGAAGACCAGACUUUUAUUUCUUAAAAACCUUUACCUUCCAUUUUAGAAUCAAAACUAAGUAUCAUUUUCAAAGUAACAAGGGCUAGGCAAUUGAGGUUAAGUGACUUGCCCAAGGUCCCACAGCUAGGAAGUAUCUAAGGCUACAUUUGAACCCAGGAUCUUCUGAGCCACUUAGCUAUCCCACUUGGCUGUUUUUUUUUUUAAAUAAGAUUGCUCCCAUAUGUGUGUUAAAAGUCAUACAAGCAAAGUGUCUAUCCUUUGAUUAUUACUAUCAGGAAGGCAUACAACAGGGAGAUGUAUACUUCUGAAAAAUAUUUGCUAUUGGGACUCAGAGGAUAGAAUACGAGGUAUAAAGAUGGGAGUUCAAAUCCGGUCUCAGUUGUAUAAUCCCAAUUGGCUGGCCUUUACUGCUCUUCUGCCUUGGAACCAAAACUUAAUAUGGCGUCUAAGACAGAAAGCAAGGGUUUAAAUAAAAUAUCUGCCACAAUCAUAGAGGAUAUUCAAUUCAGAAUUUAAACAAAAGAGAGAUUCCCUGCAUGGAUGUUAUUGUGCUGAUUAUAUCAAACCCAGGAACAUUGUAGAGCUUCAGAAAUGAGACCACUCAAAAAAAUUGGGCCUAACUAUUCACGGAGGAAAAACAAAGUGGAUAAAGAAUGUCUUUUGUCCAAAUGGCAGUGGGGGAAAAAAGCGGGUCCACCAGUCCAAUUAUAUCAGACGGACAAUAAGGCUAAUAGGACAAGCUACACUACGUUUGGAAAAUUAAGCAAUGGUUUUUAAGGAUCCCCAGCUUUUUUUCUAAAAGAAAGCUUCAUAUUUUUUACAGUAAUAAUCUUCCUGUGAUGGUGUCUGGCUGUGAAUUACAAUCUCUGAAGUAAUAAAGUUUCAGGUCAUCUAAAAGGCAAUGGAUAAACCACACGGUAAGUAGGAGCAGCCAACAACAUUUCACCCAUGAUGAAUUAUUCAGGAGUCACCAGAAAAGGAAGUAGACCAGUUUAGGGUGUGAGGAAGGGAUAACUGAUGGCUGGCUUAUAUGCUCUACUCAAAAGCAAGACAUCUCCAGGAAAGCCCCUAGCACACUGGAUGGAGGGGGUGUGGGCAAAAUUUACGAAAGGAUGUAGGUAAGAAUCCACACAAAGUCAUAAAAGACAUUGAUGGGUUGUUUCUGUACUAUUAGAGGAAACCACCAUGUUCAGCACCAUCUUUAAGAAUUCCUAUGCCGAGGCAAAUCAUUGGGGAUGGAGAUGAAAGGGACUAUAGACAAAUCCACACCAGCCAGGCUUAGACCCCUUCUCCAGCUGAACAUAUAAGGAUAUGAAUCAAAAGUGUGAUUUAAAUCACCGGUCAGAUAUCAGAAAAUGGAUUAUAGAUUAGAGCUAACGUGGUUGCAUAAAAAAUCUCUAGCUUGGGAAACUGGUAAGACCCAGAUUCACUUCUGCUAGGACCAGUCACACAGCUCUUAUUAUAGCUCCAACAACUUAGAUCUCAGAUUCGUGGAGGUCAUUAUUAUGAGCCAGGAGCCCUUUCUCAAUCUAUUUAGUCUAUUUGCAUCCCAUCCUUAAGUUACCUCUUGCCUCCCAUGCGCUGUUUGUUGUUGUUUUUUAAAUCUUUCUCAUUGUCUUUAUUUUUCAUCUUUAUCCUCAGUUUCCCUGGAUAUUUAACCCUAUCAAAGUCGACCUUCUAUGCAGGAUGACUCUUUGUAUUCAUUUGUCUUGCAUAGGGCUCUUCCAUAUCUGUCUUUUUAAAAUCUGAUCUGUGCAAGGCUUGGUCCUUCUCUUUCUCUAUCACCCAUUAGGUCAUAAGGAAGGAAAAAAGGAAGAAAACAAGAUUUAUUAAAUUCCUACUACAUGCCAGGCACUGUGCAAAGAGACAUACAAAUAUUAUCUUAUUUGAUCCUCACAAUAAUUUUGAUUAUUUCUAUAUUAUUUUUGUCCCCAUUCUACAUAUGAGGAAACAGAGUCAAAUAGCUAUUAUUUGCCCAGGGCCACACAGCUAAUAAGUGUUUAAGACUAAACUCAAACUCAGGCCUUUUUGAUUCCAGAUCUAGUAUUCUGUCCACUGCCCUACUUGCCCAUUAAAAUGUUAGCUUCUUGAGGGAAAAAAAAUUUUUUUAAUAAUAAAAUCUGAUCUGUGGGGGGCCGCUAAGUGAUUUAGUGGAUAGAGAGCCAGGCUUUGAGAUAAGAAUACUUCCUAGCUGUGUGACCCUGGGCAAGUCAUCUAACUCCAAUUGCCUAGUCCUUACUGUUUUUUUGCCUUAGAACCAAUAUAUAAUAUAUUGAUUCUAAGAGAAGGGAUUUAAAAAAAACCAAAAACUGAAUUGUGAGUUCUUCAGCACAUCCCCACCACUCCAUUUCUUCCUCAUCAGAAUCCUUUGUGCUGUACAAGAAGCACAACCCCCCCCCUUUUGUUUCCUCCAAUUUUCUCCCCUUAAAAACUUUAUUUCAACUGAAAACUCAUUUUUUCUUUUUCUCUCCUCAUCCCUAUUAGGAAAAAACCAAGAAAGUUGUCCCAUUUCCCCUUUAGGACCUUAGGUCAUGGGGUCCGUUCUGUCAGUUUUUCAGAAUUCCGCCACUCUAUCAUGUACUCCCGAGGGCCAGUAUUCAGUGAAAAUUUGCCGAAUCAGUUAACCAAGCAUUUAUUCCACUCUUGUUCCUGAAUGGUGUUAAGCCAAGUGCCGGUAAAACAAAAAACCAGAAACAGGCCAUAGCCCUUGCGGAGCUUACAUUCUGUCCACAUACAAUGUGGGAUCUGCAGGAGCUGAUUGUUAAAUUCUCAGGGUGAGCAUUUACAUCUCAGAAAUUGGCCGUUGCUAAUAAACCGGGGCUCAAUUCGUCAUUUUGUUGACUAUCUUGGACUUAAGGAAGCGAUGGAGAAAAUGUUCGUAAUUUUAAGUGCUGGGCCUACUCCCCCAGCCAGAGAGCCUGUUGUUAAAUCUUUGCCAGCUCACUUCCCCCUGGCACAGUGGAGUCAGGAAGAAUGCUUUCAGCUCAGAGCAGGGAUGCAGAGCUGGGCGCUGAGGAGGGAGGGUAUCUGGGACCUCCGCCUCCAGCCCCAUCUUCCUGCCUUCGAGGACCUUGCCGCCUGUGACAUGCCAAAGGUUUGGGGGAACAUUCAACGCUGUCGGUGAGUUUGAGCAGCUGAAGGCAAACCAUCGACCGUUGAGUGGACCCCGCAGCCUUAAACGACCAGCUGAUGCCUGCCAAGGAGCCCAAGGCCAGGACCGCAGAGGUCUGGAGUCCCUGCCAAGAAGCAGGGGCUCUCCGUCUACACCACAGGCCAUCGCCUGCCUGUGCAUUUUCUGGGGCCCUUUUCUCAGUUUUGACCCUCAGCGCAUUUUUUCCACACCUCAAAUGUCAUCUGGCUCUCAGAUAACCGUCUCCACUGCGGUCUUCACUGGAUGAAUUCAGGAUGAAUGUCCCGCUUCUGAGCCACACUUCCCCUCCCUCGGUCCUAUUGCCCACCUAAACCAAAGGUCACAAUCAACAUUCAUUGCUGUCGGUGGGUUGUGAGAUCUGAGGAAAAACUCACCGAUGGAUGAAUGUCACUGUGGCUGGGCCAGACCUGGACCUGGAGAGCAGGGUUGGAUGGCUGCACAGGAGGAAGAAAGGGCUCCUCGACCUGGGCCAGAGUCAGAGCCAGGCUCCGUAGCCUGGAACCCACCACAGACUUCUAGCCCAACUUCCCAAGUCUUCUCAACUGUUAAAUGGGGAGAAAAAUCUCACGUGCACGGCUUCUCUGAGUCGCUGCCAGUAUUCCACUAGGAAAUCAUGAUGUACAGACUUUGAAUGGUAUGUUGAAAGAACUGUGUGCAGAAGAUGACAAUGGAGGCAGCACCAUGUAUUAAAAGAAGCCUGGAUUGGCAGUAACAACCAGGAUUCAAAUCACAGCUGUUUCUCGUUCUAGUCCCUUUGUCAGACAAAAAGCAUUUAUUAGGGCAGCUGGGUGGCUCAGUGGAUUGAGAGUCAGGCCCAGAGAGGAGGGGUCCUGGGUUCAAAUCUAGCCACAGACACGUCCUAGCUGUAUGACCCUGGGCAAGUCACUUGACUCCCACUGCCUAGCCCUUACCACUCUUCUGCCUUAGAACCAAUACCUAGUAUUGAUUCUAAGACAGAAGGUGAGGGUUUUAAACAAACAAAAAAACAUAGGUCGAUGAUACAAAGGAAGCCCCCCCCCCAAAAAAAACAGCUUGGCCGUCAAGGGGCUCCCCUUGUAAUGGGGGAGCAACACACCAACUACCACAUACAGUGUAAAAAGGCAAUUUGGGAGAGAUGGGAGUAGAGUGAGGGGAGGCAGGGCAGAAAGGCUCUAAGUGGAGUUUUAGGAGUCUUGAAGGAAGGCCAAGAAAGCCAGGAGGCAGAGACUAGAAGGAGAAUUCCAGGCAUGGGGGACCAAAUCAGGGAGGAACAUUGGAAGGGACAGUUAAAUGUAGGCGAGCACUUCUAGCGGUGUGUCUCUGGGCAAGCCAGUUAACCCUCACUGCCUAGCCCUUACUGCCCUUCUGCCUUGGAAUGGAAAGACAGAAGGCAAAAGUUAAAGAAUAAAACAAAGUAGGAAGGGGCUGGGUUGUGAAUGUUCUGCCCAGGCUCGAGUUGAACCCUCCUCUAUGAAUCCCUGAGCCCUGACAAUAAGGCACUGGGCUACUCUGGAAUCCAGUGUGGCUUCCAAACCCAGUGGCUUGUACCAGUCAGUACCAGCAAUCUCUUCCUCUCCAGAACUCCUGACUCUGCCAUUUCCUUAGCUUCCUGGCUAGCAGAAUUGAGUGUAUGACACCUCUUUCCGCCUUCCACACCACGAAGUGAGACAAUUCUCAAUACCUAACAAAGGGAUUAAAGCUUGGGAGCUCAGGUUGUUUUGUUGGUCUGGUCAUAAACUUCUAAUCUUACCGGGAUGCUGUGGACUGAGAGCAUGCCUUUGUGCCCCAAGAAUGGUUUGGUUUUUUUUUUUUUAAUUCUUACUUUUAAAAUCCUUACAGAGACUGUGUCAGUAUCAUUUCUAAGACGAUGAGGGCUAGGCAAUGGGGGCUAAGUGCCGUGCCCGGGGUCCCCCAGCUGGGAAGUGUCUGAGGGCAGACUUGAACCCGACUCCGCUGUGCUACCUAGCUAGCUCUGGCCCAAGAAUUUCCGAAAGCUAAGCAUGGACUCCGGGGAAGUGAAAUGCACUUGAAUCCUGAGGACAUUCCCAUCCCCAAGUCAUAACAGUAAUUAACUUGGGUUUCCGGGGAGGCUUGAUAUUGACAAAGCCUCGCCAAGAUUUACAGAAGCCCCGUGUAGUCCCACGGUCGGUCCCCUCGGAUGUGGAAAUCGGGAGUGACUUUCCCAGCAUCCCCCAGAAAGAAAGGCUCAAAGUUGGGAUUAGAACCAGGUGUCCGGACUCCCCGGUUUGGGGCAGGCACGAAGGGGAGGGAUGGAUGCACUCACUGGGAAGUUCGAACCUGGAUUUAGCUCCCGAGGCAGGGGCUAAUGUUGGUCCGGGUCUCGCUCCCUGGCAGCAGGCAUGGCUGCGUGCGGUCGGUCUGGUCUGGCCCAAGGAGACAUCUUCCUAGCCUGCUGGGCUCUAUUUAUUUGCUUGAAGCCUCUUCCUUCCAACGAGGCCUGCGCCCCGGGAAGGGAGAGCGUUCCCCCAAUUCUUUCUCCCGCCAUUUGGGCAGCCUCAAGAGCCCCCGCCGCGCCUCUCUGCCUCCUACCUCAGUUAUGAGUUAGCUCGCAAAGGCUUGUGGUGCGGUCCCCACUGCAAAGCGGAGGAGAUUCAACUCCCGAAGGGAGGUGGGAGCUUUGCAGGGGCGAAGCCGAGGGCAGUUACAGUGUAGCCCAGACCGGAGGUGGAAAGCUACACCCGGGCAGCCCACUCUUCAGGGAGGGGGGCGUGGCGGGAGCGGGAGGGGCCGAGAAAUAGCGGGGCAGGGGGAGGAGCCAGAGCGGAGUGAUUGCUCCAUUUGAGCUUUCUGGACUCCUCAACCGAGAUGGGGUGGGAUGGAAUGGCCCGCGGCGACCCCUGGGCUGCAGAAGAAAGGGGGCGGAGGCCUUAGAGUACAAAAUCUUCGGAGAUCCUUUUUUUUCCCAUGGGAAGAAUUCUGUGGGGGAAAAUGUGUUAGGAGUUCACUGAAAGGGCUGCUAAUGAUUCUAUGGGAACUCAUUGUCUAAUUUGGCUUUUAAGGGUGACCCAGACGACAGAUCGCGGGGCCUGGAAAUAAAUUCAAUUCCGGCCUCUGACACUAAGCUGUAUGACCCUGGGUAAGUCACUUCACUCCUGUCGUCUCAGGUUCUUCGACUGUAAAAUGGUAUAAUAGCACCAGUAGCUCCCAGGGCUGAUGUGAGAAUGAAAACACGCCCAUAUUUGCAAAGCUAAGUGUUAUUAUUACAUAUAAGCACUAUUAGUAUUAUUACAGACAAUCAUAAAAGACUUGUGCGUCUUGUAAACGGUGCGGAGCUAACUCACCCAAAUGAGACCAGGAAAGCUAAGGACAGACUAAGGUUUUAUUUAAUUCUUUAUUUUUUUUUUAGUUUAGCAACAAUGGGGUAAGCACUUUCCCCCGCACCCCCAGUCCCUGUUCCAUCCCCGCCUCUCAGGAACAAAUUACUUUGUAUUGGCUUUAAUUGUAUUUAGUACUUACUUAUCUAUCACAUCUUCUUCCUCCCCCCAGGAUAUUGGCUCCUUGGAGCCUGGGGCUUGCAUUUCUGAGUCAGACAACAGCAACUUGGUACAUAUGGGGGGGACUUGUUCAACUGCUGGUUUACAAUUUUGAUUGGUUUAAAAUUUUUUAUUAUAAGAUAUUUUAUUUUCCCAAUUACUUGUAAUAACAAAUUUCCCACAUAAGUUUUCUGAAGUUGUAUGAUCCAAAAUUGUCUCCCUCCUUCCCUUCUCUCCCACAUCUCAGAGCAGACAAAUAAUUCAAACUGGGCUAUCCGUGUGUUAUCAUGCAAAACCUAUUUCCAUAUUGUUCAUUCUUUUAAGAGAACAAUCGUAUAAAGCCAAAACCCCAAAGUAAAACCCAGAUAAACUAAUGUGACAGAUAGUAUACUUUGGUCUGCAUCUGACUCCCACAGUUCUUUUCUCUGGUGGUGGAGAGCAUUCUUUGCCACAAGUCUCUCAGAAUUGUCCUGGAUCAUUGUACUGCGGAGUUGAUCAUUCCACAGUAUUGCAGUUUGUGUACGAAGUUCUUCUGGUUCUGCUUAUUUCACUCUGCAUCAGUUCAUGGAGGUCUUUCCAGCUCUCUCUGGAAUCAUCCUGUUCAUCAUCCUUAUAGCACAAUAGUAUUCCAUCACUAUCAUAUACCACAAUUUGUUUAGCCAGUCCCCAAUUGAGGGACAUCCUUUUCAUUUCCAACUCUUUGCCACCACAAAAAGGGCAACUUUAAAUAUUUUUGUAUAAUUUUUCCUUAAAAAAAAUCUCUUUGGAAUACAGACCCAAUAGCGGUAUUACCAGAUCAAAGGGGAUGCAUACAAUUUGGAUUGUGAAAGCUGAAGAAUGACCAGUGCUGGGGGAGCAUGAGACGAGUAUGAUGGAGGGCCCCAAAUGUUAUUCUCAUAUAUUCUUUUUUGUUCCUCUAAGAAAAUUAAGUCUUUGGGCUGAAAAGAACAAAACAAAAAUGUCUGGUAGGGAGCGGAAACCCAAGAAUCAAAAGGGACCUAUUCAGAGUGGCCUUGGCUUCCCUUGGCAUCUCCACACUCCAGGGAUUUGAAAGAAUUAGUUGAUGAGAUAGCUAAACCACUUUUGGAAGACCCUGGAGAAUUACUGACAACCUGCAGAAGGGUAACUGUCCAAACCUCUCACCCCCAAAUUAAGGUUUUCAAAGCACUUUACAAACAACUUAUUGGAAGAGGAUAAAAUGUAAGGUGUCAAAUGAUUCUUUCAACAAUCCUGGGAGGUAUUAUUAUGCUCAUUUUGAGGAGAAGCUCAGUGGAGUUGAGGAAAUUGAGCCCAGAAAAAGUUAAGUGACUUGGCCAGGGUCACACAGAUACUAAAUAUCUAAGGCCAGCUUUAAGUCCAGACCUUCCUGUUUGCAAACUCCAUACUCAAUCCACUGGACCACCUAGCCACUUAUUAGAUGCCUGGCAUAUAGUAGGGACCUUAUAAAGUAUUCCCUUCUCAUUUCCUUCCCUUGUGAUCAAGGAGAGUUGCAAAAAUAAGUAAAACCAUGUAUCACUAAAAUUUCAGUUUUGGAAAAUAGUUACUUUUCAUAAAUGAUAACUUGCAUUCACAUGUAAUGGAUUUAUUAUUGCUAUUUUA